rnacentral:hammerhead_ribozyme from 1 species
AUCCAGAUGACGAGUCCCAAAUAGGAAGAAAUGCGGCGCAUCCUCGCUGGAU